GACGAACCGUGCGAACGUUAUUCGGAAUCACUGGGCUUAAAGCGCGUGUAGGCGGGCCGGCACGUCCGUGGCUGAAAGCCCCCGCUCAACCGGGGAAGUGGCGCGGAUACGGCCGGCCUGGAGGGGGGUAGGGGGACCUGGAACUUCCGGUGGAGCGGUGAAAUGCGUUGAGAUCGGAAGGAACGCCCGUGGCGAAAGCGAGGUCCUGGACCCUUUCUGACGCUGAGACGCGAAAGCCAGGGGAGCGAACGGG
rnacentral:rRNA from 1 species